UUUGAGGACAGCACUCAGCCACAGAUUCAAAUAGCUGCGGCUGAGUGUUCUUGUGUGGCUGGAACUGCUCUCUGCAAUCACAGUGUUGCACUGCUGUACCAGAGCACGAAAUACUCGGCAUUGCAACUGAAAGCAGUUCCGCCAGUCCUCAGCUGCACUGAAACUGAGCAGCAGUGGCAUAAGCCCCGAAAACUGGGUGUGAAACCUGGCAGAGUGAGUAAUAUGGUAUUUGUCUCAACCAAACCAAAGUCGAGACAGUACACAGCUGCUGAUGGUGUGAGGAGCAAGCGCUACAAAGCAGUGCGGGGGGACUUGCCAGACCCAGAUGUCCUGAAGGUCGACGAGGCAUACCAGGACUUCAUGGCAGACCUUGCACCAUUAAUCACCACGCUCUCCAUAAGUCCUGGUGUCCCCCUCGUCAAUUCCACUUUUGGGAGCGUUCAAGAUGGAAGCCCUAUUUCUUAUCAGCACCCUGUGCCAGUGAGUAGGGUCAUCAUCCACCACCCAGACGCACCCUCUCCACCCCCACUGCCGUUACAUGGUCACAGGCUGGACCCAAGCACAUGUUCCUUUGUGUGCACUC